GCCAUUCCCUUAGCUUCCUGGAUGACUCAGGAGUUAGUGAUUCCAUUGAAAUGAGAUCAGUUCUGCUGUGUUACGUUCGUUUUUAGUUGUGCCUCCUGUGAUUUUGUUAACUAGUCUGGGGUUUUGUGGUUUUGUUUGUUUGGUUUUGGUUAUCUGGUUUUGCCUCCUUUGCCCAUUAUGGUUUGGUUUAGUUUUCCGUGUGUGCACAUCUUGUGCUUUUUGAAGACCCUCAAUCAUUUAUCUAUGACUGAUUUCAGUAUCAUGAAGUUAAAUUACCAUGGGGUAGUUAUCUAACUAGUGACUGAGUCCCCAAGUAUCAAACCUGUUUAAACACAGCAUUUUGUUCUCCAACAUAAAAUGGCAAAACUCCAUCCUUGUGGACCGCCCCUUUGUAUCCCUGUUGCUGUUUUGGGCUUUUAGGGUGUCUAAAAUUCACAUAUGGCUUGACUGACUGAUUGAUUGAUGAUUGCGUAAUUUAUUUUGGCUUCCCAAUUUGAACAUCUGUUCUUUCCCCUUCACCCCUUUCCAGAUGUCCCCUAGCUGUGCUGACCUCUGCACUGUGUAGUGUUGUCAUCUGGUGGAUUGUUUGUGACUACAUUCUUCCCAUCCUGCUAUUCUGUCUCGAUGGUUUCAGAACACAGUAGCCAUCAGGACCCCCUGACAGAUAGCUGCUUCUCUCCAUUUCAAGGACUAAAACAGUCUUGCGUUAAGUAAAAACCUGUGACCAGAGCUGAAGGAAGACUCUAGGAACUGAAAACUGCAGCAGAAAUUAGCACAAUUUGAAAACAAAACAAAAUUGCAAAAGCCUUAGUUGCUUUCCACCUAAGAAGUCGAUCAAUGGAGAAAGUGUCCGCUGGAGUUUCGAUAAUGAACUUUGAGUUUGGGUGCAAGCGAAGGACUCAGAGAAGGGCCCAGCUCUCAAGCUGAACGACAAAAAUGCUGUUGUAAAUUUAGUCUCAGGUGUAAAUACCCAGCCCUCUGGUUCCCAGGGAGCUGGCUGCUCUGAGGUGCACGUGUGUCUCUGUGAUGGCAAUCAUUGUAGUUGCUGGCCUUCAGAAGAAUUGAGGAUCUGAUGGAGGUUUUUUAUGUAUUUAUUUUCUGUUCACCUUGUGACCCUGUGUCAAAAUUUGUAAAGAUACAAAAGGCAUUAAUUACUGAGAUGGUACUUUCUGUAAUUUGAUACUAUUUGGCUUAAUCAUCUUCACCUAUUUGUACUGUUGUAAUGUUAACUCUGUUAAGUACCCAAGCUGCUUGUCUUCCACCAAAGAGUGCUUUAUUAACAAGAAUCUGUGAAAACCACAUUUAAAUACUGUUGCAUGUUGUAAGACCAGAUGGUUACCUUGGUAACCUAAAACUUGCAAGAUAAUAUAAUGGUAGCUUUAGAAGACUCAGGAGGAGAAACUGACUUCAGAAUUGGAAGAUGUUGCAAGUCAUCCCUUUUUCUGUCCUUUAGGGACUGAAGAACUGGGAGGCUGCCCAUUGUUUGGUGCCAGUCAUACAAAUUAAAAUCAUAUUUCCUUCCUUGCAUGGAAGAAACACAGUCAGUUAUUCCCCUUGGAAACAGCAAUCCCAAAUAAUGUCGGCUUAAAAAAAAGUUAACCGCUUUUUAGAGUCCUUCUCUGUAACAUUGGAUUUUUUUUUUUUUUUUUUCUCCUUAUGAGAUCAGUCUAAGGCCAUUGACGCAGCCUGCGAUCUCAGUGACAAUGAUCUGCUUGUGGAUCUCACUGUUGCCUUUGGUUAGGGAACACAACUAGUAACUCUGCAGAGUGCCUUCUCCCCCUACCCUACUGGAACACAGCAGAGUCUGUGCCAUGAAGCAGUUACAGAAACAGAAUUGAUUUGCUGCU